GGUUAAAUCGUCUAAUGGCUAAGGCGAAAGAUUGCAAAUCUUUCAAUAGCAGUUCGAGUCUGCUUUUAACCU
rnacentral:tRNA from 1 species